UGGCCUGUUUUCAAGCUAAGGAUGCCUCCAG
rnacentral:piRNA from 1 species